UAGCCCUAAAUCUUGAUGACCCCAAACACAAACAUCCGCCUGAGAACUACGAGCACAAACGCUUAAAACUCUAAGGACUUGGCGGUGCUCUAAACCCACCUAGAGGAGCCUGUUCUAUAAUCGAUAACCCACGAUUCACCUGACCACCUCUUGCCAAAACAGCCUAUAUACCGCCGUCGCCAGCCCACCUCGUGAGAGCACAACAGUGAGCCCAACAGCCCACAGCCCACUAACAAGACAGGUCGAGGUAUAGCCUAUGAGAUGGAAGAAAUGGGCUACAUUUUCUAAAAUAGAAAACCCAACGAAAAGGGGCUUGAAACCUGCCCCCAGAAGGCGGAUUUAGCAGUAAAGUAGGA
rnacentral:rRNA from 1 species